rfam:Schistosoma curassoni strain Dakar, Senegal genome assembly, scaffold: SCTD_contig0006178
AUCUAGUUGACGAGUUCCAAAUGGGACGAAACGCGCGUCGUGAAU